AAACUUGAGAGUUUGAUCCUGGCUCAGAACAAACGCUGGCGGCGUGCCUAACACAUGCAAGUCGUACGAGAAAGGGUCCUUCGGGACCUGAGUAAAGUGGCGCACGGGUGAGUAACGCGUGGAUAAUCUGCC
rnacentral:rRNA from 1 species